rnacentral:rRNA from 1 species
GACGAACGCUGGCGGCGUGCUUAACACAUGCAAGUCGAACGGAAAGGCCCUGCUUUUGUGGGGUGCUCGAGUGGCGAACGGGUGAGUAACACGUGAGUAACCUGCCCUUGACUUUGGGAUAACUUCAGGAAACUGGGGCUAAUACCGGAUAGGAGCUCCUGCUGCAUGGUGGGGGUUGGAAAGUUUCGGCGGUUGGGGAUGGACUCGCGGCUUAUCAGCUUGUUGGUGGGGUAGUGGCUUACCAAGGCUUUGACGGGUAGCCGGCCUGAGAGGGUGACCGGGAAAAGUGGGAAGGAGGAGAGGGCAAGACGGCAGCGGGAGGAAGCAGGGGGGAAUAGUGGAGAAGGGGCGGAGGGCUGAAGCAGCAAUGCCGAGUGGGGGAUGAGGGAGGGCGGGUAGGAAAACGAGUACGCCUGUGAAGAAGCGUGAGAGAAGGUAAAGGGUAAAGAAGCACCAACUAACUAAGUG